GAUCCUGGCUCAGGAUGAACGCUAGCUACAGGCUUAACACAUGCAAGUCGAGGGGCAGCAUGGUCUUAGCUUGCUAAGGCUGAUGGCGACCGGCGCACGGGUGAGUAACACGUAUCCAACCUGCCGUCUACCCUUGGCCAGCCUUCUGAAAGGAAGAUUAAUCCAGGAUGGGAUCAUGGGUUCACAUGUCCGCAUGAUUAAAGGUAUUUUCCGGUAGACGAUGGGGAUGCG
rnacentral:rRNA from 1 species